AGGCAGAGCAAUGGGGAGUGGGGGGGAGAUAGAGAGAGAUCUUCUAUCUGCUGGUUGGAUGGGCAGGACAGGAGGCGGGGCUAUGGAGCAGGACUCCCAGGGGCUGGGCGCAGCAGUGGGGAGGGAGCAGUUCGUCCCAGCUCCUCUGGGUUUGUCCUGGACUUUCCGAGUUCUAGCACUAGGAGUCCCGCGUUCCUGGAAACCUCCCGGUCCCAGGCAUCUGUCACCCCUCACCCCCUGGGCUUGGGCUGGCAGCAGCCCUGGGGCCUCUGUCCAGGAUGGAGAACCAGGCUUCAGCCAGCUGAGGAGUCAGGACACCAGGCCGACGAUGGUCAAGGCUGGAGGGCGUUUUCAGGUACAAACCAUCCUUUACCACAUGGGGACCCCAAAACCUUGCAGCCUUCCAAGGUGGCACCAAUCCUCCGCGUUGCUUAUCACACCACAUGGAUUCUCGGUUUUUUGUUUUGUUUCUUUUGUUUUUUGUUUUGUUUUUGUUGUUGUUGUUGUUGUUUGUUUGUCUUUGUUUUUGAGAGACAGACCCGUGCACAGAGAGAAUUUCCAUCCAGCUGGUUCCCCAAAUGCCCCAGCGGCCAGGGGUUAGGCUGAAGCCAAAAGCUUGGAACCGGGAACCCGAGCAAGCUCUCCACAAAUUUUUAAAGGGUGUUCGCAGCGAACUAGUAAGGAUGCAGCCCUGUCAUCUGUCGCCACCUCCCCGCUCCCUGCCAGGAUUGCACAAAGAUACUACAUUCACAGCUCUCUGCCAUGGCCUGGGAAAGCAGUGGAAAAUGACCCAAGUUCUUGGGCCUCUGCACCUGCACGGGAGACCUGGAAGAAGCUCCUGUCUCCUGGCUUUGGAUUGGCGCAGCUCCGGCCAUUGCGGCCAAUUGGGGAGUGAACCAGCGGAUGGAAGACACCCCCCCCCCAGCUGCCUCUCCUUCUCUCUCUGUGUAACUGUGACUUUCAAAUAAAUAAGUAAAUCUUAAAAAAAAAAAAAAAGAAAAGAAUUCCCGUGGAUUUUCCAGAUGCAACAGCAGCGCUGUGUGUCCACUCCUCCCCGUGUCCU